CGUCGGUCUGAGGAGGGGCCGCUUCUCCAUGUCGCCCCGCACCUGCUGAGCCCGGAGCGUCCGAGGAUGUCCGCGCUGAGGAAGGCUUUCUCGCCAUCCGAGGCUUGGCCCUAGCCCUGCGCGGCUUCCCUCGCGGCUGCGAACCCUCUGCCUGCGCCCAGCCCAGCCACAAUGGGGACUGCUCAGGUUUUGCCUGGCAUUCUGCAGAAGCAUUGCUGUAUCUUACCAGACAGGAAUACAGGCAAUGCUGUGAAGCGUCAGAGGGAAUUCCAUUGGUUACUUUCCCAUACGGUCUUGUUCAGCUGCUUUUUCUCAGAAAAGUGUGUUUGUUGGUGGAGGAGAAUGUGACCAAGGAGACCAUCCUUUUCAUGAAGGCACAAACAUGAAUGCAUAUGUGGUUUUUAAGCCUUUAAAUAAAAACCCAAAGCACA
rnacentral:sRNA from 1 species